rnacentral:rRNA from 1 species
GAUGAACGCUGGCGGCGUGCCUAAUACAUGCAAGUCGAGCGAACAGACGAGGAGCUUGCUCCUUUGACGUUAGCGGCGGACGUGUGAGUAACACGUAGGUAACCUACCUAUAAGACUGGGAUAACUUCGGGAAACCGGAGCUAAUACCGGAUAAUAUUUCGAACCGCAUGGUUCGAUAGUGAAAGAUGGCUUUUCUAUCACUUAUAGAUGGACCUGCGCCGUAUUAGCUAGUUGGUAAGGUAACGGCUUACCAAGGCAACGAUACGUAGCCGACCUGAGAGGGUGAUAGGCCACACUGGAGCGGAGACACGGUCCAGGGUCCUACGGGAGGCAGCAGUAGGGAAUCUGCCGCAAUGGGCGAAAGCCUGACGGAGCAACGCCGCGUGAGUGAUGAAGGUCUUCGGAGCGUAAAACUCUGUUAUUAGGGAAGAACAAACGUGUAAGUAAAUGUGCACGGAUUGACGGUACCUAAUCAGAAAGCAACGGCUAACUACGUG